AGGACGAACGCUGGCGGCGUGCCUAACACAUGCAAGUCGAACGAGGCCCAUCCGGUAGCAAUACUGGAGAAGGUCAAGUGGCGAACGGGUGAGUAGCACGUGAGCAACCUACCCCGAAGACCGGGACAACACCGGGAAACCGGUGCUAAUACUGGAUAUCCCCCUCUGGGAUCGCAUGGUCCGGGGAGGAAAUGGAUUCCGCUUCGGGAGGGGCUCGCGGCCUAUCAGCUUGUUGGUGAGGUAACGGCUCACCAAGGCUUCGACGGGUAGCUUGGGUCUGGAGAGGACGAUCAGCCACACUGGGACCAGACACGGCCCAGACUCCUACGGGAGGCAGC
rnacentral:rRNA from 1 species